rnacentral:rRNA from 1 species
AGUGAACGCUGGCGGUAGGCCUAACACAUGCAAGUCGAACGGCAGCACAGAGGAGCUUGCUCCUUGGGUGGCGCGUGGCGGACGGGUGAGGAAUACAUCGGAAUCUACUCUGUCGUGGGGGAUAACGUAGGGAAACUUACGCUAAUACCGCAUUCGACCUACGGGAGAAAGCAGGGGACCCUCGGGCCUUGCGCGAUUGAAUGAGCCGAUGUAGGAUUAGCUAGUUGGCGGGGUAAAGGCCCACAAAGGCGACGAUCCGUAGCUGGUCUGAGAGGAUGAUCAGCCACACUGGGACUGAGACACGGUCCAGACUCCUACGGGAGGCAGCAGCGGGGAAUAUUGGACAAUGGGCGCAAGCCUGAUCCAGCCAUACCGCGUGGGUGAAGAAGGCCUUCGGGUUGUAAAGCCCUUUUGUUGGGAAAGAAAUCCAGCUGGCUAAUACCCGGUUGGGAUGACGGUACCCAAAGAAUAAGCACCGGCUAACUUCGUGCCAGCCGCCGCGGUAA